rnacentral:lncRNA from 10 species
CGCCCGCCAUGAUGCCCGGCUCAUUUUCUGUGUUUUCAGUAGAGACGGGGUUUCACUGUGUUAGCCAGGAAAGUCUUGAUCUCCUGACCUCGUGAUCCUGACCUCGGCCUCCCAAAGUGCUGGGAUUACAGGCGCGAGCCACCGCGCCCGACAGCAGUUAUGAAGUUCUAAAAGCAAGUCUUAAUCAGGAAGUGUCCUUGAUCACCAACGGCUCGCCCAGGCAUGCUGGCUCUCUUCCACUUCCACCUUCCACCAUGGGAUGACGCAGUAAGAAGGCCAUCAGUAGAUGCCAGUCCCUCAACCUUGAACUUUCCAGACGCAGAACUAAGCUGAAUAUCUCAUAAAAUGAUGGGAACAAAAAAU